CCUACGGGGGGCAGCAGUGAGGAAUAUUGGUCAAUGGCCGGAAGGCUGAACCAGCCAAGCCGCGUGAAGGACGAAGGUGCCAAGCAUUGUAAACUUCUUUUGUCAAGGGACAAAAUCAGGCUCGAGAGCCUGACCGAGGGUACUUGAAGAAAAAGCAUCGGCUAACUCCGUCCCAGCAGCCGCGGUAAUACUGAGGAUGCGAGCGUUAUCCGGAUUUCUUGGGUUGAAGGGGUGCGUAGGCGGACUGUUAAGUCAGCGGUAAAAGCCCGGGGCUCAACCCCGGCGAGCCGUUGAUACUGGCUGACUUGAGCUGUCGAGAGGUAUGCGGAAUGCGCAGUGUAGCGGUGAAAUGCUUAGAUAUUGCGAAGAACUCCGAUUGCGAAGGCAGCAUACCGGCGGCGAUCUGACGCUGAGGCACGAAAGCGUGGGUAUCGAACAGGAUUAGAUACCCUUGUAGUC
rnacentral:rRNA from 1 species